rnacentral:rRNA from 1 species
CAUUACUGAAUGGCCUUUUGGCCUUCAACCUUCAAAAACAUGUGGAAGCAAGACGUGCUUCGGUGCCUCUGGUGCCGCCUUUAUGCAGUGAAGCUUUUUUGUCUGAACCAAAAACUAAAAUUUAAAACUUUCAACAAAGGAUCUCUUGGCUCUCACAUCGAUGAAGAACGCAGCGAAGCGCGAAAUGUAGUGUGAAUCGCAGAACUUUGUGAAUCAUCGAAUCUUUGAACGCACAUUGCGCCUCCCAUCAUCGGGAGGCAUGCCUGUCUGAGCGUCAUUUAAACCAUAGUUCCCAUCUGGGACUGUACUGGGCGUCGCCGAUUGGCGUAGCCUUAAAGACAUUGGUCUACCAAGCGGACGAGAUCCUUUAGGACGGACCGUUUUGUCGACCUUAAACCUCUGACUUGACCUCAGAUCAGGUAGGGCUACCGCCUGAACUUAA